rnacentral:rRNA from 1 species
GUGCCUGGCUGUGGCUAACACAUGCAGUCGAACGGCAGCACAGAGGAGCUUGCUCCUUGGGUGGCGAGUGGCGGACGGGUGAGGAAUACAUCGGAAUCUACUUUUUCGUGGGGGAUAACGUAGGGAAACUUACGCUAAUACCGCAUACGACCUACGGGUGAAAGCAGGGGACCUUCGGGCCUUGCGCGAUUGAAUGAGCCGAUGUCGGAUUAGCUAGUUGGCGGGGUAAAGGCCCACCAAGGCGACGAUCCGUAGCUGGUCUGAGAGGAUGAUCAGCCACACUGGAACUGAGACACGGUCCAGACUCCUACGGGAGGCAGCAGUGGGGAAUAUUGGACAAUGGGCGCAAGCCUGAUCCAGCCAUACCGCGUGGGUGAAGAAGGCCUUCGGGUUGUAAAGCCCUUUUGUUGGGAAAGAAAUCCAGCCGGCUAAUACCUGGUUGGGAUGACGGUACCCAAAGAAUAAGCACCGGCUAACUUCGUGCCAGCAGCCGCGGUAAUACGAAGGGUGCAAGCGUUACUCGGAAUUACUGGGCGUAAAGCGUGCGUAGGUGGUUGUUUUAAGUCUGUUGUGAAAGCCCUGGGGCUCACCUGGGAACUGCAGUGGAAACUGGACAACUAGAAUGUGGUAAGGGU